rnacentral:rRNA from 1 species
GACGAACGCUGGCGGCGUGCCUAAUACAUGCAAGUAGAACGCUGAAGGAGGAGCUUGCUUCUCUGGAUGAGUUGCGAACGGGUGAGUAACGCGUAGGUAACCUGCCUGGUAGCGGGGGAUAACUAUUGGAAACGAUAGCUAAUACCGCAUAAGAGUAGAUGUUGCAUGACAUUUACUUAAAAGGUGCAAUUGCAUCACUACCAGAUGGACCUGCGUUGUAUUAGCUAGUUGGUGAGGUAACGGCUCACCAAGGCAACGAUACAUAGCCGACCUGAGAGGGGGAUCGGCCACACUGGGACUGAGACACGGCCCAGACUCCUACGGGAGGCAGCAGUAGGGAAUCUUCGGCAAUGGACGGAAGUCUGACCGAGCAACGCCGCGUGAGUGAAGAAGGUUUUCGGAUCGUAAAGCUCUGUUGUAAGAGAAGAACGAGUGUGAGAGUGGAAAGUUCACACUGUGACGGUAUCUGACCAGAAAGGGACGGCUAACUACGUG